rnacentral:rRNA from 1 species
GAUUUAUUUUUUCUGGCAUUGAUGAAAAACGCAGAGAAAUGCAAGAUAUUAGUGAUAAUUACAGAAUUUUCAUGAAUCAUGGAAUCUUUGAACGCACAUUGCGCCCUUUGGUAUUCUUUAGGGCAUACCUGUUCGAGAGUCAUUCAAACCCCCAAGCUCUGUUUGGGGUUGGGGGCCUGUCCCGCCGCCGGCGCGGACAAACCUAGAGGCCGUUGGCGGUGGUUUCCCGAUCGGAAGCGCAGCAGCCUGCGCCAGGUAAGCGUCGGGUCUCGUCCAGGAACCCAUACUCCAAAGGUUGACCUCGGAUCAGGUAGGGAUACCCGCUGAACUUAAGCAUAUCAAUUAGCGAGGAAAAGAAAC